rnacentral:tRNA from 1 species
GGAAGUGUGCCCGAAACACCCAAGGAUUACUUUGAUAGAGUACAUUAUAGGGGCUUAACUCCCCUCACUUCCC